rnacentral:lncRNA from 1 species
CAAUUGAAAACUGAUGCAACGUGCAAAGAUUCAUGGGUUGGAUUCUCGGGUAGGUGGAGUAGCAAAGGCAAGUUCAUCCUUAUCUUGGUCAUGUUCUUUGGGAGGCUCAAGAAAUUCAACAUGAAAGGUGGCAAAGCAUGGAAGCUCUCCUGGCCAGUAUAAGAUUAACAACAUAAACUUCAUUCACAUAGUAAGCAAAUAAAAAAAAAAAAAUAAGAGCAUAUUUAAGCUGCACGCAGCAGUAGUAUAGUGACCACUUACCAAAAAUUUAUUCAGCCACCAAAGCAAAUUAAACUAUAUAUGUAUAUAUCAUACGCUAACGCAGAUGUUUACUCCAUGGAGCUGAUGUGAGCAUGAGUAAUAUAAUAGACAUUAAUUUGGCACUUCCUGUGGCUGUAUGUAUCAAUGACAAAUGUCAGUUUACAAUCUAUAGAUGUGAGCAUAUGAGUAAUAUGUCAUUAAGGCAAAGUGACAAAUAAUGAAAAAAAGUUACCUUGUUGAUUCCUUAGUCCCCAGUCCCCACCCUGUAAUAGUAUUUGUUGAAGAAAUCAUUGUUUGAUCUGAUCACUUAGACCUGGGAGAUUGCUUGAUCGGAACCAAUUAAUUAAGCAAUCCUAUCUGGGUCACACCCAUGGUUUGACAAUCAAAAUAGAGGGACUGUUUAUAUAUAUAUAUAUAUAUAACUGAAUCAGAAGCAACAAAAACGAUCAAAUAAAUGAAAAUCAUAAUAAAAACAUAGGAAAGAGAAAUCUCUUGAUAUAUUUUGAAAAAAUAUAGUACACAUAAAGUCCAAGAGUGGUUAGGCAAAGAAUUAUACUGGAACGGUGACAUAUGUGACUAGCCAUUUUAUCGAGCAUCAGAUUAUACCCUGCCCCAUGGCCCAGCCCAUGUUUUGUCCAUCAUUACCCCAUUUGCCUUGAUGAUUUCAGAUGAUAGAUGAUAAAUAAGAUACAACCUUUGCCAAAAACUAAGUAUAUAUAAAAGGUUAUGGGUGGAAAUUAAUAAAAAGGUAUUGUGCUUGUCAAGUCCCCAUAUAUACCAAAAGCAUCUCCCCCAAGAUUUUUACUUGCAGAAUAUACUUCAACUGCUCCAGUUCUUUGAUCUUCUAUGAGCCCCGAAGUGUGAACCUAAUAAAAUGCAAAAGUAUUAACUAUUACAAACCAAAUGAAUCACUUAAAAAAACUGAAAGAAAUUAGUUUUGCUGUUGAAAAUAAAUUUCCUUCAAUUACCUUUAAUUCACAUAAGGAAUGGCAGAAUCGCUUCAAAAUUUAGUAUCUGGAUAAGAAAUGUGAAUAUAACCAUUUUUUUUUAAAGGAAGUACUCUUCGCUCAAAUGAGACAGUCUGCCCUAAGGCAUAUGAAAACUUAUCCUUUGAAAAUAGUGAAGGAUGCACCAAAUUUUAUUUAGCUGAUCUAAACUGUGAUAAUUAUCUAGAGUCCAGAAGAAUCUUAUAUUUCAAGGAAAACAAAUGACAUGAAAUAUAACAUAAAGUGUUGAAUAAUGACUAGACCUAUAUCAAUUCUAUUUCUCUCACUACUGUUCACACAAAAUAUAUGAAGUGCUGCAGCAUAAUAUGCAACUUACUAUCCCUUACCGUGACUAAAUUUUCGCCCAAUAAAUCGCCAGCCGUGAUAGAUGCGUCAUUACAUAUUUACAAAAACAUUCAUAGAUAAAAAAAAAGCUAUUGUUGGAAGCAAGUGCUAUUUCUGAAUGAGUCCUGGUUUUUUGUCUAUGCA